CCAUGUCUCGUAAUUGGAAUGAGUAAACUUUAAAUCCCUUUACGAGUAUCGAUUGGAGGGCAAGUCUGGUGCCAGCAGCCGCGGUAAUUCCAGCUCCAAUAGCGUAUAUUAAAGUUGUUGCAGUUAAAAAGCUCGUAGUUGGAUUUGUGGUGUGUCCAGUCGGCCUUUGCUCUUUGAGUGAUUGUGCUGUACUGGUCUGCCAUGUUUGGGUGGAAUCUGUGUGGCAUUAGGUUGUCGCGCAGGGGAUGCCCAUCGUUUACUGUGAAAAAAUUAGAGUGUUCAAAGCAGGCUUAUGCCGUUGAAUAUAUUAGCAUGGAAUAAUAAUAUAGGACCUUGGUACUAUUUUGUUGGUUUGCGCACUAAGGUAAUGAUUAAGAGGGACAGUUGGGGGUAUUUGUAUUCCAUUGUCAGAGGUGAAAUUCUUGGAUUUUUGGAAGACAAACUACUGCGAAAGCAUUUACCAAGGAUGUUUUCAUUGAUCAAGAACGAAAGUUAGGGGAUCGAAGACGAUCAGAUACCGUCCUAGUCUUAACCAUAAACCAUGCCGACUAGAGAUUGGAGGUCGUUAAUUAUACGACCCCUUCAGCACCUUAUGAGAAAUCAAAGUCUU
rnacentral:rRNA from 1 species